rnacentral:rRNA from 1 species
UACAGAGGGUGCAAGCGUUAAUCGGAAUUACUGGGCGUAAAGCGCUCGUAGGCGGGUGCCUAAGUCGAUUGUGAAAGCCCUGGGCUUAACCUGGGAACUGCAGUCGAUACUGGGUAUCUAGAGUAUGGCAGAGGAUAGUGGAAUUCCCGGUGUAGCAGUGAAAUGCGUAGAUAUCGGGAGGAACACCAGUGGCGAAGGCGACUUUCUGGGCCAAUACUGACGCUGAGGAGCGAAAGCGUGGGGAGCAAACAGG